rnacentral:rRNA from 1 species
GACGAACGCUGGCGGCGUGCUUAACACAUGCAAGUCGAACGGAAAGGCCCUGCUUUUGUGGGGUGCUCGAGUGGUGAACGGGUGAGUAACACGUGAGUAACCUGCCCUUGACUUUGGGAUAACUUCAGGAAACUGGGGCUAAUACCGGAUAGGAGCUCCUGCUGCAUGGUGGGGGUUGGAAAGUUUCGGCGGUUGGGGAUGGACUCGCGGCUUAUCAGCUUGUUGGUGGGGUAGUGGCUUACCAAGGCUUUGACGGGUAGCCGGCCUGAGAGGGUGACCGGCCACAUUGGGACUGAGAUACGGCCCAGACUCCUACGGGAGGCAGCAGUGGGGAAUAUUGCACAAUGGGCGGAAGCCUGAUGCAGCAACGCCGCGUGCGGGAUGACGGCCUUCGGGUUGUAAACCGCUUUCGCCUGUGGCGAAGCGUGAGUGACGGUAAUGGGUAAAGAAGCACCGGCUAACUACGUG